UUCAGAUCCGAAUAAAUUAUUCUCGAUUGGAUUUAUUUAGACACAUAUCUCAUAUAUGAGAAGUCCUCAUUUCUUUCGAAUCAAUUUAAGGGGGGUGUUUGGUUGAUGGUUAAUGAGCCCGAUUAACGGGAAUCGGAACCUAAUACCCAUACAUUUUGUUUGGAUUAGUAAAAUUUUUGCUUGGAAUGAGACCUCAUUCCCUCUUCAAGGUAAAUCAAUACCUCAUACCCCUUGGUUUACCAUUUCCCAUACACCAUUCCCAUUCCCACCGAUCAUCCAAACACCCCCUAAAUCUGAGGCGGCAAGGAUUUAAAGCUGAGGCGGCAAAGAAAGAGAACGGGGAACGGGAGAUGAGACUUGAGCAUUGUAGCUGCUCUAAGCAAUGUCUUCCAGGUUGAUGCUAUAAGGUCGAGCUAAAAUUCCUGCUUUUACCUUCUCCAAAAUAAUGGCUUCUCCUCGGUUUCAAAUCGUAAGCACUUGUUCUCCUUUACUCUGUCAUUUUCAUUCUCAUUUUCCUAUGUUCUCUACUAAUCAUUCUUCAGCUGUAACCACAUUUCCCCCGUUUAACAAUACUUGCACUCCCUUCUCCACUAAACCUAACCCUAAUUCAAAACUCAAACCUCCCUUUAUUCCUUCUCUAUGCACCACUCAUCCCCACUUAAAACAAUUACUCUAUCACAAAUCCAAGACAGGUUUCGAUAAACUCGAUGAUGCUCUUCAAGUGUUCGAUGAAAUGCUUCAUUUAAAACCGUUGCUUCCGGUUCUGCAGUUCAACCAACUGCUGGCCGCGCUUGUUCGAAUGAAGCACUACUCUGUUGCUGUCUCUGUGUUUAGGGAAAUGCGUGUUUUAAGCAUUCCGGUUGAUAUGUUUACCUUUAAUACUGUGAUCAAAUGUUGUUGCCACUUGAAUACACUUAAUUAUGCGUUUUCGAUGCUUGCUGGGAUUGCUAAACGUGGCCUUGUCCCUGAUGUGGUCACCUACAACACUCUAAUUAAGGGCCUUUUGUCUCGAGACAGACCUGUUGAGGCUGAGCGCUUGUUUGAGAAGCUUGUGGGAUAUAAGGACAUGCGGCCCAAUGUAGUUACUAAGGGGUCGUUUGGUUCGAAGAGUGGUAUCGGGUUGGAAUGAGGAAUCGGGUUAAGCUGGUAUGGGUUUGAGGUAUCAUAUCUGAUAUCAUGUGUUUGGUUGAGUGCUGGAAUCAAUAUAUGCAAUUUUUGUAAAAAAUAAGUUAUUAAUUUAUAUUAAUUGAAAAAAUUAAUAAAAUUAUUAUUGUUAUGUAUUUUUGCAUCAUUGAUUUAAUUUUGUAUAAAACAUUAAUAUUUGAUUACUUAAAUAGAGACAAAAAAAAUCAAAAAUGAAUGGAUACCCAUACCUCCAUCUCAUACCCACCUCCCCACCUAGGUAUCAAAAACUCAUACCUUGGGGGUUUAAGGUAUGGGUUUGAGAUUAUAUUUUCACCAACCAAACACUAGGUAUGGGUUUGGAAUGGACAAACCUCAUACCUUAUUCCACAUACCCAUGAACCAAACGACCCCUUAUUCUCAACCGAUAUUCAUCCUAAUCAAACUACGAGAGAUUUUUUUUAGCAUCUUUUCUGGUCAGGAGAAUUACGGGGGUAUGGAUUGAGAUUUUAAUAGAUUGUUUUUAGUUUAUGGAUUUUAAUGGAUUGUAUGUGAUUUUGUGAUUUUGAUUUUGUGCUGAUUCUUGAUGUGUAUCGAUUGAGAUUUUAAUAAAUUGUUUUUAGUUUAUGGAUUUUAAUGGAUUGUAUGUGAUUUUGUGAUUUUGAUUUUGUGCUGAUUCUUGAUAAAAUGUCAAUACUUCAAAAUCCCAUUGAUUUGGUGAGAUUUUAAAAAACUUAAAAUAGACCGGAAAAUGCCACAAAAUCGUUCAUUUUAUGAAAUAAAAAAAAAAUCCAUCAACACUUAAAUACCAUGAGAUUUUAAUGAAUUUUAAACUAGAUUGAAUACCAUCAGAUUUUAAAAUAUAAUUUAAAAUCUCAAUUAAAUAUCUAAUACUUUCAUUCACUUCGACAGCUCCGAUCAUUUUAUUAUUCCUAAUGUAUAUGGUUAAAUCAGAAUAUUCAGAUCCGAAUAAAUUAUUCUCGAUUGGAUUUAUUUAGACACAUAUCUCAUAUAUGAGAAGUCCUCAUUUCUUUCGAAUCAAUUUAAGGGGGGUGUUUGGUUGAUGGUUAAUGAGCCCGAUUAACGGGAAUCGGAACCUAAUACCCAUACAUUUUGUUUGGAUUAGUAAAAUUUUUGCUUGGAAUGAGACCUCAUUCCCUCUUCAAGGUAAAUCAAUACCUCAUACCCCUUGGUUUACCAUUUCCCAUACACCAUUCCCAUUCCCACCGAUCAUCCAAACACCCCCUAAAUCUGAGGCGGCAAGGAUUUAAAGCUGAGGCGGCAAAGAAAGAGAACGGGGAACGGGAGAUGAGACUUGAGCAUUGUAGCUGCUCUAAGCAAUGUCUUCCAGGUUGAUGCUAUAAGGUCGAGCUAAAAUUCCUGCUUUUACCUUCUCCAAAAUAAUGGCUUCUCCUCGGUUUCAAAUCGUAAGCACUUGUUCUCCUUUACUCUGUCAUUUUCAUUCUCAUUUUCCUAUGUUCUCUACUAAUCAUUCUUCAGCUGUAACCACAUUUCCCCCGUUUAACAAUACUUGCACUCCCUUCUCCACUAAACCUAACCCUAAUUCAAAACUCAAACCUCCCUUUAUUCCUUCUCUAUGCACCACUCAUCCCCACUUAAAACAAUUACUCUAUCACAAAUCCAAGACAGGUU
rnacentral:lncRNA from 1 species